GAACCCGGAAGUGAAACGCUGUAGCGCCGAUGGUAGUGCGGCGACAGGCCGUGUGAGAGUAGGUCGCUGCCAGGU
rnacentral:rRNA from 1 species